ensembl:rRNA 5S_rRNA 5S ribosomal RNA
GUCUACGGCCAUACCACCCUGAACACGCCCGAUCUCGUCUCAUCUCGGAAGCUAAGCAGGGUUGGGCCUGGUUAGUACUUGGAUGGGAGAAUGACCCAAGUUCAAGCCCCCAGUUC